AGCAGUAGCCACGGGAAAACGAAGGGUGCAAGCGUUAAUCGGAAUUACUGGGCGUAAAGCGUGCGUAGGCGGUGAGUUAAGUCUGCUGUGAAAUCCCGGGGCUCAACCCCGGAACUGCAUCCGAUACUGCCAUGCUAGAGGAUUGGAGAGGUAGCUGGAAUUCUUGGUGUAGCAGUGAAAUGCGUGGAGAUCAAGAGGAACACUCGUGGCGAAAGCGAGCUACUGGACAAUAACUGACGCUGAGGCUCGAAGGCCAGGGUAGCGAAAGGGAUUAGAUACCCGGGUAGUCCCUGUCUCUUAUAC
rnacentral:rRNA from 1 species